rnacentral:rRNA from 1 species
UUAAUUGAAGAGUUUGAUCAUGGCUCAGAUUGAACGCUGGCGGCAGGCUUAACACAUGCAAGUCGAGCGGUAGCACAGGGGAGCUUGCUCCCCGGGUGACGAGCGGCGGACGGGUGAGUAAUGUCUGGGAAACUGCCUGAUGGAGGGGGAUAACUACUGGAAACGGUGGCUAAUACCGCAUAAUGUCGCAAGACCAAAGAGGGGGACCUUCGGGCCUCUUGCCAUCAGAUGUGCCCAGAUGGGAUUAGCUAGUAGGUGGGGUAAUGGCUCACCUAGGCG